rnacentral:rRNA from 1 species
GCUCAGGACGAACGCUGGCGGCGCGCCUAACACAUGCAAGUCGAACGAGAGAGAGGGGGCUUGCUUCCUCAAUCGAGUGGCGAACGGGUGAGUAACGCGUGAGGAACCUGCCCCAAAGAGGGGGACAACAGUUGGAAACGACUGCUAAUACCGCAUAAGCCCACAGGUCGGCAUCGACCAGAGGGAAAAGGAGCAAUCCGCUUUGAGAUGGCCUCGCGUCCGAUUAGCUAGUUGGUGAGGUAAUGGCCCACCAAGGCGACGAUCGGUAGCCGGACUGAGAGGUUGAACGGCCACAUUGGGACUGAGACACGGCCCAGACUCCUACGGGAGGCAGCAGUA